GACGAACGCUGGCGGCGUGCUUAACACAUGCAAGUCGAACGGAAAGGCCCUGCUUUUGUGGGGUGCUCGAGUGGCGAACGGGUGAGUAACACGUGAGUAACCUGCCCUUGACUUUGGGAUAACUUCAGGAAACUGGGGCUAAUACCGGAUAGGAGCUCCUGCUGCAUGGUGGGGGUUGGAAAGUUUCGGCGGUUGGGGAUGGACUCGCGGCUUAUCAGCUUGUUGGUGGGGUAGUGGCUUACCAAGGCUUUGACGGGUAGCCGGCCUGAGAGGGUGACCGGCCACAUUGGGACUGAGAUACGGCCCAGACUCCUACGGGAGGCAGCAGUGGGGAAUAGUGCACAAUGGGCGGAAGCAUGAUGCAGCAACGCCGCGUGCGGGAUGACGGCCUUCGGGUUGUAAACCGCUUUCGCCUGUGACGAAGAGUGAGUGACGGUAAUGGGUAAAGAAGCACCGGCUAACUACGUG
rnacentral:rRNA from 1 species